GGUGAACAAGCUGACGGAAGAAGUGCAGAACAAGUGGAAGACAGCCCAUGCCAUCAUGCAGGACACUGACAUCAACAUCAGCAGUCUGGGGCGCCGGGCCAGCUCCUCUGGGGUGGAGAUAGAUUCCCAGGUCCCCUACUUCAUUGGCUUAGACUACGACAUCCGCAGAACAGGCAUCAAGAUCUACAACAUUAAGGAAGGAACUACACACAUUGGGAGUAAAUGUUCCUUGACAGAUCAUGAGACAAUU